rnacentral:rRNA from 1 species
UGUAACGAGCGCAACCCCUGCCGUUAGUUACAUGUGUCCUAACGGGGACUGCCCGGCUCAACUGGGAGGAAGUGGGGACGACGUCAAGUCAGCAUGGCCUUUAUAUCCUGGGCUACACACACGCUACAAUGGUCGGUACAAUGGGUCGCCAAGCCGCGAGGCGGAGCCAAUCCUCCAAAACCGGCCUCAGUUCAGAUUGUAGGCUGCAACUCGCCUGCAUGAAGUUGGAGUUGCUAGUAACCGCGCGUCAGCUAUAGUGCGGUGAAUACGUUCCCGGGGCUU